rnacentral:rRNA from 2 species
CUUGACGACCAUAGAGCAUUGGAACCACCUGAUCCCAUCCCGAACUCAGCAGUGAAACGGUGUAUCGCCGAUGGUAGUGUGGGGUUUCCCCAUGUGAGAGUAGGUCAUCGUCAAG